UAAAAAGCCAGAGUGAAGGUCAGCCUCUGCCACAAAGCCAGGGGGAAACCACAGAAGACCAACUGGGAGAGAGAUGGGGAAGUUUGUACUGUUUACCUGUCUGGCCUUUCUGCCAUUGGUUCUCAUUGAGGCUACCAACAUAACUACCAGCGCAACUGUUACCCCUUCAAACACUAUGACAGUACCAGAAACCAUCUCAUCAAACCCAGUCAGCAACCAACCCUCAGAGAACACCACGUUUCCAAUGACAACCUCCAAUAACAACAUCAGCAGUAACGUUACCAUGGGACCUCCUACCAUAUCUGUCUCCAACCAUACAACAACGGCCGCCACAACCCUUGGUACGCAGUCCACACACUCAACUCUAGUAACCGCCACGACUACCACAACCAAUGUGUCCCUGCAGACCACUGAUCAUACCACAGCAAACCAGAACAACAUAACUGCUGCCAACCAUAUGUCGCCCACACCUCAUGGAGGCACCGCAGCCCUGUCGGGCUCUUACAGUCUCCUCCUGGGGCCCCUGAUGGCCGUAAUAAUCCAAAUGGUAUAGGAAUAAGAACAGAGCCCUGUGGAACACUUCACUGGAAGAGUACUCUACUUCACAGUCAUUCACUAACAACUGAAAAAAAACAUAUCUGUGUACAGUUUCACAGGUGCAGGCUUAGUAAUAGUAAGUGAUAAUAAUGAAAGUGCUAUAUAAAGGUGUAAAUUGUAGUAGGUGAGCUGUGUAUACUAUUCAUUAGGCAUGGACAUUGUAUGAAGGAGCUAUGAAGAUGCUUUGGGACUGAAACUCUCAACAGACUGAUCAAAAUGACAAGCACUGAGCCCUUCCCCUAUUUUCACCACUACCAAUGACUGGUCCCUUCAACCUUAUAAAAAUAUCAUGAACAUGCAUAUCACCAUGUGCACCAUGGCUGAAAACAUCAUCACUAGCACACGCUAACAAAAUAUAUAUAGAAAUGUUUGGUUGUACUGUAGUUGUAAAUAAAAGACACACUUGUUAAGUA